GAGCUUAAAGGUUGAAUCAAUUGAGAAGCUUUCGGCCGCUACUUCCGAAAUUGGGGUGGCAGAUUUGUUGUGCUGAUGUUGCUGCUGAUAAUUGGGCUGCACUGAGGAAUUGAAGGACUGCCAUUGCACGGGUUGAAUUAGGCCUUUAUGCUUAAAAGAAGAGUUGAGCGUUGUUGAUCUGAUGAAAAAGAAAGAAACUUGGGCCGCUGAAAUUGAAACGCUGUUGUUGCUGGAAUUGGGCCAUUUAAUUGGAAUUUGGGUCAACGCUGAAAUGGUAGAAGCAAAGCACUUGGUUGUGAGCUGAAAGAGAAUUGGACCAUUGGGCUGAUUACCCUUUAGUGAAACGGUGCACUUUAGAUGCAGGUACUGUUUUGGGGGUCAGAGCUGAAGAUUUCAUUUGGCAGAAGAAAACUCCCUCGUGCUAAAAUUGAGCAAAGGAGAUAAAGAGGUCCUUAAAAGUUAGGGCUUCGUUCGAAGACGAGAGAAAAAAGAGAGCGCGAAGUGAGACGAGAGAGGAAGAAGAAGCUCGCGCCCCUGACCGGACCUUGACCGGAGUUGACCAGAAAAUAUGACAUGGAGAUGAUCAGAGGGCUUGGAAAGGAAGCAACUGCUGACCGUUCGAUGAAGAGAAGAUUAAAGCAUCACGAUCAUGUUUCCUCUUUUCCUUCUUUCUUUUUCUCUUUUCGGUUUCCACCCUAUAUAAAAGGGGGGCUUUUGUACUGUGAACAGACUUUUACGCUCUCGAGCAGACGCACUUUUCAGUUUACGCUACAAUUUUAGAUAGUUAGGCUUUUCAUUUUCCUUGCUUUUGGAGUGAAUCACUCACGGUGGUGAUAGCCCGUGGUGGCUCCAAUUGCGUGUUUUGUUCGGUACAUUCUUUUGUAAUUUUCAUUUUACCUUAAUAAAGUUUCUUUUACAGUGAUGUGUUACUA
rnacentral:lncRNA from 1 species